GGGCGGGGCUCCAGGCGCGCCUUUCGGUUGGAAAAUUUGGUUGAGACUCCUUUAGCCGGGAAUUCCUGAAUUGCCGUUCGCUUUGCAGACCUUUCUUCUGCUGGGGUGAGAGACCUGGAACUCAGUUUUCUUUUUUGAAAAGGGAGGUGGGUAUAAUCUGCGCCAAGCAAUUUCAGAUUAGGGGGCAGCUCCAGCGCACAUCCCUGACGUUUAUUUGGGCUAUAGGGAUGAGUUCAGCCAGGGCCGGAUAGACAUCCGUGGGGUGGAGAGUUGGGGCGGUUAGGGCCAUAAAUCUCUGAAUGUUUUUUGGCUUGGGGGUGAGGCUGGAAAGACAGGCGCCCUGCCCAUCCCUCCCCCCAGCCUCCUGUGUAUAGGCAUUAGGCAUAUGAAUUGGAAAUUGCACUUGAAUUUGCCUCUGUGUGGAUUGAGUUCUGAACCACUGCAGCUGCUGACCCUUGACACCCCUGAAAGGAGCUCAGGGUGGAGAUUAGGAGUGAGGCACUCUGCUCUCUGGGAAAACCUGGCAGAACAGGCUUUCAGAUAGAUGUUUUCAGGAGAAGAUUUUAUGAGCCCAAUUCUUGUAUCUCUUCAAAUCUAGAAAAGCACUAAAACCCUUCAUGGUGACACCCGCUCCUCGUGACUAGCAGUAACCCCGAGAUUAGUUCCAAAGUUUUGUAAAAUGUGUGCUUGGUUGCAUGGACCUCCCCUCUUCACCAAAAGUCACAUAUACACCGACAUUCCCCCCAGCCUCUUAGGAGUGGAAUUUUGAAAUGCUGCCUCCUGGGUUAUAGUUCUCAUCCCCCCCCACCCCCAAAUAAAACAACUCUCAGCUUUUAGGUUGUGCAUAUUCUUUUGAGUCGACAGACAGGCAGAAGGCAAAGCUACCUCCUUGGUUUGCACUUAAUGAGGCCGUGACGCAUGGACAAAUGACAUCUAAAACAGAAACUUUUUGUAACACCUGAGCAAGACACGCUGACCAUGGAAGCUGUGCUUUGGGGUAGGAGCUAGGUUUGGGGUUAACCUGCUGCAGCCAGUUUCCUGGGUUGUUUGGGGUUAACUAUCUGGUCAAUGAGCCUUAAUUGGCUGAAAGACGAGGCAGCCCCCCUCAGUCUUCAAAUUCUUGAGGUCCAGGAGAGUUCCCAGCCAGACACAUGCACAGAUGGGGUCUCAAGUCAACCUCUAGUAACCUUGGCCUCAUUAUAAUCUCAUUAUAAUACUAUUAGCAUUGCAUUUUGACACCCCCCCCACCAAUCCCCACCCACUGUGGGUUUGGCUUAGGUGCUUAUUGGAAGGAUUCAAAUGGAGUCCAUGGAAGCUCAAAUGAGGAAUUAUAGAUGACAUCAUAGAGGAGGGGAAAAGGGGGCAUCACCCUCAACCAAACCCCAGAAGAUAUUAACAACCAAAACUGCCCCUGUUUGCUCCUCACUGGCCUAAAUAAACUUCUUUGAUCUCUUUACACAGUACUGUGCUUCCAAUAAACUCUGUACCUUUACAAUCUUAAUCUCUUUGUUGAAUUUCUUCCUGAAAGAAGGCCACUGAGGUCCUCCUGUUGGCCGAAAUCAGGAGCACUUACUUUGGUGCUGCGUCUCUAUUUAUUUAUUUAUUUAUUUAUUUUUCUUUUUAGGGCCACACCCAUGGCAUAUGGAAGUUCGCAGGCUAGGGGUGGGUUGAAUUAGAGUUACAGGUGCCAGCUUUACGCCACAGCGAGGGAUCCGAGCCACGUCUACAACCUACAUAGCAGCUCACAGCAACACCGGAUCCCUGACCCACUGAUCAAGGCCAGGGAUCGAACCUGCACCCUCAUGGAUACUCGUCAGAUUCAUUUCUGCUGUGUCACCAUGGGAACUCCCAUGGAAUCCCUAGGGUUUUUAAGAAGUGAGGAGGUUUGGGCCUGGGGCAGACAUCCUCAAGUGCUGGGGCCUGCAUCUAAGUGGUUUUUUUGAGUGGGGACAGGUCUGCUUCUCUGGGACCUGUUGUCCUAGGGUGUGUCCUUGUCCUGGGCCCACUCUGCUUUAUAACCAAGAUCCCAGGUUUGGCUAUAAUGGAAGUGGCUAGUUUGGCUAAGUCUCCUUUCGUUGUAUGCUUUUCUCUCAUGUGUUGGGAGUCACACCUCUAGUUUGGGACUUACCAGGGUUUAGGUAGGGUGGGGACCUCUGAGGGCUGUUGGCCGACUAUCCAAAAUCACUUCUGGUAUCUGGUGAGGCCCAAGUAGCAGUAAGGACAAGUUUUUAACCCACCCAGUGGAACAGUACAGUAAACUCACAUGGACCUGGCAUCGGAUUCAGCAUUUAUCGAUUCACAGACAGUCUUAUUUUGUGUAUAUCCCCUCAACUUGUGCGUGGAUACACCUUGAGAACUGCCACAACCCAUAGGGGCUGGCCAUCAUUGACGUGACCACUCACCCAACUGGCUAAGGGCACAGCACUCCACAGCUAGGGAUCAAAUCUAGGCGCUUUCUUGCUCUGUUACCUUGGGCAAGAUUUAUAACUCUGCCUGUGUUUAUCAGGAGACCUAACUCAUGGGGCCUUUGAGAGGCAAAACUUGUGUGCUGCCUGGAAUUGUCCCUGGUGUAAAGUAAGAAUUUAAUAAGUGUUUAUCAUUACCACUGCUAAUAAAGGAUAAUUUCUCUAUUUUUUUUUUUUUCUUUUUCUUCCUUAGGGCUGCACCUGUGUCAUAUGGAAAUUCCCAGGCUGGGGUCGAAUCAGAACUGCAGCUACUGGCCUAUGCCACAGCCACAGCAACGCCAGAUCCAAGCUGCACCUGUGACCUAUGCUGCAGCUUGCUGCAAUGCCGGAUCCUUAACCCACUGAGUAGGCCAGGAAUUGAACCUGCAUCCUCACGGAUGCUAUAUUGGAUUCUUAACCUGAUGAGCCACAUUGGGAGCUCCAAUUUCCCUAUUUAAUAGCAGGGUCAGGCUGUUUUCUGAUGCCCAUAUUUGACUCUGUCCCCAGGAAGUUGUCUACAUUCUCCUUUAAUAGAUCUGAGGGGUUUGUUUGUUUGUUUGUUUGUUUGUUUGUUUGUUUGUUUGUUUUAGAAGAGGAGCACUGCUCAUUUUAAGCUUGAGGAUUUUUAGUCUAAGUCUCUAGGAGUCAAGAGACCAUCCUGAAGCUCACACUACCUGUUUCAUCCUCAGGUUCCCCUCGCAUCCCUGCCUGUCCAGAGAGAAUUGUGUAGAGUUGGAGGGGACUUCUUGCAGGUGGGUACCGCUCAGCUUCCAUGUUUCUGCAGUGUCUUCUGUUCUCCAGACCUUGGGUAAAUUUCAUUUUCUCGUCAUGAUGUUUGGUGCCCUGCCAGGGUCCCAUCGGAGGCUCAGAGGACCUGCUUGUUUCUACAGGAUGCCAGGGCAGGAAAAGGGUCUUUACAGGAAAUACUACCCCAGAUGAGAGCUGUCAUUCACAUGACCACCGCCCUUCUCCCAGCAACAUUUCAUCCUGGUUGCUGGAUACUCAAGACAGCUCUUGUGAAAUAAAAAACUGAUAACUGCCAUUUAUUGGGCAGUUGUUCUUUGCCAGGCACUGGGCUUUACAAUCUCUGUAAUAUUUUAUUCCCUCAGCACUGAAAGUUAGGAAUCACAACUGCCAAUUACAGAAGAAGUGGCAUGUUGCAGAGGGUAAGCGACAUUUACUGUGUCACUUGGCUGGGGUCAGGUGGAGUCAGGGUUUGAAGCUCAAUCAAUAACCAACAUCCUGCAAUUCUUAUUUCAUUCCAAGUCCCUCAUCCCUCAUUUUUUAUUUUCUUGGCUAAAGUAUUUGAAAGCAAAUCCCAGACAUAUCAUUUCACCUGUAAAUACUUUCAUAAGCAAUUCUAUUGGGAAGGACUGUCUUUGAAAAUGUGAUCACAAUAAUAAAAUUAUUAUUACACACUAAAUAAAAUUAACAAUAAUUCUUGGAGUUCCCAUGGUGGCACAGUGGAAAGGAAUCCGACUAGUAUCUGUGAGGAUGCGGGUUUGAUCCCUAGGCUUGCUCAGUGGAUUGGGGAUCCAGCAAUGUCAUGAGCUCCGGUGCAGGUCGCAAAUGCGGCUUGAAUCCCGUGUUGCUAUGGCCAUGGCAUUGGCUGGUAGCUGUAGCUCCAAUUCAGUCCCUAGCUUGAGAACUUCCAUAUGCUGUGGGUGUGGCCCUAAAAUGCAAAAAAAAAAAAAA
ensembl:lncRNA